rnacentral:lncRNA from 10 species
UAUCAGUGUGAGACAUCUGGGGAGGCUCCCCUUUUUUUCACCAUUUGAGGACUGAAAGUAAAUUUAGCUUCCUCAGCAGAAAGAAAAGAAGCUGUUUUGGAGGUUGGGAAGAGCUUUAGAAAAUGCGGCAUCACGUCUGUUGCCCCAUUUGAAGAAAGCAGCUCUGGAAAAGGCCUAGGACAUUAGUUGCUACAAAGUUCUAGAUCAUUCUGUGUGGUAAAGAAGUGCCUUUCACCUCCCACUGUGAUUCUGAGGCCUCCCCAGCCAUGUGGAACUGGGUCAAGCAAUGGAAUGGAAAUGUGUCAUGUCCUUUCAAGGUCAUCUGUGGAGCAAUGUUUAACAGCCUGCCCAAGAAAUAUUUAAUUACCUAGAGGAAAUCAUCCAUCCCACUGAUGCAAAAAGAAGGUGGUUUCCAUUUUCACUCUGGAUCUAUCUAAUUGACUAUUUAAUUGAUGUGGACUUUAGUAGAGGCAGUGAUUGCUUCCAGUUGGUGGGCCCAGGAAGACUGUGAAAAAGGAGUCACAGAAGGCCUGGAAUGGCUGCGAUGGAGAUAAAGGAUGAAGGGUAGUCCCCUCAGGGUGUUAUCCAAAAAGUCACCUUGGAAGAGGAAGAAACUCCUACCAAUAUCAGAAGAGCAACAAACAUUUUUUUUUCUAGAAGAUAAGUGGCUAAUUUCAAAAUAAUUAUUUUAUCAACUGCCA